rnacentral:lncRNA from 1 species
CACACCGCCAUGGAUGGGGCCUUCAAGCACCCAUCCCUCCCUACUCUACCUCCCUGCUGAUGGGUGUCCUCACCACCCGCUCCCGCAAAGCCUACGUUGAGACGAUGACGAGCUGCUUUGUGCCCUCCCUCCCAUGUAAGCUUGAAGCGGCCGCGCUCGCGCACCAUGCGGAUGUGACACCAUUUUUUUUCCAAGAUGCCAUGAUUCCUCUAUGGAUUAGUUUUUUUAUUUUUAGGCGGUUGUAGCUUUUUGAUUGGUCGGUUCCAGCUUUUUAUUUUGCCGGUUGUAGCAAUUUCAUCCAUGAGCACCAAUCUUUGAUUCGUUGGUUCCAACAUUUUUUCCCGCCGGUAGUAGCUUUUCACGUUCUUGUUCGAACUUUUGAUUUCGCCGGUCGCAAAUAUCCCCCUUUCGACAGUAGCAACUUUUUGAUUCAUAGGUUGUAGCAUUUUAUUUCGUCGGCAGUAGCUUUUUGCUCAAGGAAGGGGAUCGAUGAAGAUUUUUUUUGCUACAACCAUGUACCAUAGAAGCCUCAACCGUGUGUGCCAGAGCUGCAAGCCGUGUACACCAGAGCUACAACUGGAGACACCCGUCAUCGGCGAGGCUGCAACCGGCAAGGGCAAUGCUACAACAGGUGCCCAGCAAGCUACAAGCGACACAACGACAAGCUUCAAACCUGGUGGAUCACCAUGCCGGCGAGGGGGGAUGCAACCAUGGUAGCGAGUUGCUGGAACUGUCUUUUAUUUUUGCUACGAGAGGCCAAAAAUUUUGCUAUGUUCCGGUGACGAAGGUCCAUGGUUUUGCUGGAGCCGGCUAAACUUUUGCUUCAACCGACUUUUUUCUUAGUUACUUAGAUUGUUUUUUCUAGAACAUAGGGCAUGUGACGACGGCGAUGAUGAGCUGCUUCGACGGACAUGGAGGACACGGGGAGUGGUGACCAUACCGGUGGUGCGCAACAUCGGCGAGGGACGGUGUUGCGGUCGGCGUCGCGGAGCUACCAUGGAUGCAACAUGGAGGCAAGAGAAAAGGCUGCUAUGGUCAAUGACCUUUUUGUUGCGAGCGACGGCGGCGCGGAUAGGCGGUGAGCGUCCGCGGCGAGGCAAAUGGGCGAGGUUGGCGAGCGCGGCUCAUCGACAGAUGAGGACGAGCGGGGCGCUGGCCUCUUUCCCCUUACUUUUUUCUCCUCUGCUUUUUUUGUUGUAGCAUUUUUGUAAGGUAGAUGAAGGAAUCAUACUGUUUACAAAACUAGAUCGUGCGGCCCACGCAGGACCGGCUGAAAUUUUAGGCCGGCGCACUGUGCGCCUAUUAGUGGCCAAGUAAUUUUCAUAAAUAACAUUACUUAUACAUAACUCCUGGAGAAAGACAAAAAAUUGGCAUUUACCUUCGUCUUUAGUACUCCCUCCGACCCAAAAAAGUGUCAUGGCUUUAGUUCAAAUUUGAACUGCUGAACUAAAGCCAUGCCACAUUUUCUUGGAUCGGAGGGAGUAUAAUAUUACCAUGAUGGCAGAUACACACAUACAUUUAAUGACAUCGAAAACCAUUCUCGUUAAAAUGUGGCUGACUGGCGUGCUUUGUCCACAGGAAUAGGUGUACACAUGUUGUCAGCAAUACGAGAAAUAGGGUCCUGCGAGCCUACUGAAAUGCGCCGAACUCAACGACGUGAAGUGCAAACAGCAAGGCACCAAGAGAUAGCACUAAGGGGCGGUGGUCAGGGCUCCCCAAGAACAUGCUCUCAUCCAGCUUAAGCAUGGCAAUCACGCAUUACCCCAAGCAUGCUCGAGCCCCCGACCUCUACUUCAACAACAACGAAGAUAACUCAAGAGCCAAGCGGGUGCACAGGGCUGGACCCCGAGCACCUUCGAUUCCUGCAAGCACUAGCUUUGCUCCAGCGGGCCUUCUAGGGGACUGCCAACUGACGAGACAAACAUGUGCAUGUAAUGCGAGGCUGAUAAGCCUACAACGGCCCAUGUCCCAUAGGAGGCAAUGUUGAUGGCUUCGCAUGUCGGUUCACAUCAUCCCAGGCGGUAAGGCAUGUUGCAUGUCAUCAUUGACCUCAUCACUAACACCAUCCUCACAAAUUGUUGAAGCAUCCGCGAAGACACGAGUCCACCUUCACCACUUGAAAUGUAGCGCCCAUCAAAGGCUCGUGCCUCACAGAAACGCCAAACUUCCCCUGCCACAUGAAUAGCAACGCCCAUUGGAGUGUUUGCGGAAACACCACACAUGG